CCUACGGGGGGCUGCAGUGGGGAAUAUUGCACAAUGGGCGCAAGCCUGAUGCAGCCAUGCCGCGUGUGUGAAGAAGGCCUUCGGGUUGUAAAGCACUUUCAGCGGGGAGGAAGGCGUUAAGGUUAAUAACCUUGUCGAUUGACGUUACCCGCAGAAGAAGCACCGGCUAACUCCGUGCCAGCAGCCGCGGUAAUACGGAGGGUGCAAGCGUUAAUCGGAAUUACUGGGCGUAAAGCGCACGCAGGCGGUCUGUCAAGUCGGAUGUGAAAUCCCCGGGCUCAACCUGGGAACUGCAUUCGAAACUGGCAGGCUAGAGUCUUGUAGAGGGGGGUAGAAUUCCAGGUGUAGCGGUGAAAUGCGUAGAGAUCUGGGGGAAUACCGGUGGCGAAGGCGGCCCCCUGGACAAAGACUGACGCUCAGGUGCGAAAGCGUGGGGAGCAAACAGGAUUAGAUACCCCUGUAGUC
rnacentral:rRNA from 1 species